rnacentral:rRNA from 1 species
CCUACGGGUGGCAGCAGUGGGGAAUAUUGGACAAGGGGGGGAACCCUGAUCCAGCCAUACCGCGUGUGUGAAGAAGGCCCUCGGGUUGUAAAGCACUUUCAGUGAGGAAGAACGCCUGGUGGUUAAUACCCAUCAGGAAAGACAUCACUCACAGAAGAAGCACCGGCUAACUCCGUGCCAGCAGCCGCGGUAAUACGGAGGGUGCGAGCGUUAAUCGGAAUUACUGGGCGUAAAGCGCGCGUAGGUGGCUUGAUAAGCCGGUUGUGAAAGCCCCGGGCUCAACCUGGGAACGGCAUCCGGAACUGUCAAGCUAGAGUGCAGGAGAGGAAGGUAGAAUUCCCGGUGUAGCGGUGAAAUGCGUAGAGAUCGGGAGGAAUACCAGUGGCGAAGGCGGCCUUCUGGACUGACACUGACACUGAGGUGCGAAAGCGUGGGUAGCAAACAGGAUUAGAUACCCCAGUAGUC